GGUACAAUUACCAUCUGGUCGUGUUGGGCUCGUCAUGCCAGGGAACCAAUAAGCAAAGAGUUAACUCUACAGGGGAUAAAAAUUGACCUUAACAACCAUGGGGGAGUUAGAAUUGCUGCUACACUUUGGGGACAGGGAGGAAUAUAUCUGAAAAAGAGGAGGCUCCCUGGGAUGUCUUUUGGUGCUUCAGCACUUAGUGGUAACUAAGAAUCAGCAGGUACAGCAACCACAGCCCAACAAGGGCCAGGAGGCUAAGGCUUCAGGAUAAAGGUCCCGAGUGGCUCCACUGGGCACACAGUUAGACCCUCCUACUAGUCAAAUAUAACGGAAAUUCAAAGUACAUAGUGGAGGAAAGAAAAUACUGAUUAUGGCUUUAGGAUUUACAUCCAAGCAGUGAGGAUAACCUUCAUUCAACUAACCUUUUAUUAAAUCCUCUCAAAUUUGCCUACCACCUUAAAAGGGACUCUGUAAUGGGAAUGAGAGAAACUGAGAGGUAAAAGAUAUGGACUAUAGUAGAUGUGCCUUGAACUCUGCCUCAAACCCUCUCCACAUCCCACUCCAGGACUGCCGUGGUGACUUGUUCUUUGAAAGCUUCACCCAGCUUUCCAUAGGGGCAACCUGACAACAUUUGACUGAGGCCUGUGAUUAUUCAGCAUUUAUGAGUGAGAGAAGGCUCAGUAGCAAAUCGAGCAGCAGAAAGAAAAGAGUCAGUAAAGAUUUGACAUCUCAUCUUUCAAAGUCAUUACAAGAAUUAUAUUAAAUAUUAUAUGCAAAAGCACAUCAGUGCUUGAGGAAGCGAAGGAAAGGGGCAAGGGGAGGGGGGAAUGCCUCCAAGAUUUGUUUUAUGCAGAGAAAUUCAGUUUUGUUCAGCCGCCGCUGCAGAACUCGGAUCGGAGAUUCACGUCACGUGGGAGAACUGAACUGAAGCUUCGAAGAGACGACUUACAAGAGCCCCUCCUCUCUGAACAUGCCUUCCUAGAUCUACGACACCAUUACAGCAUUAUUCCCUUGACUUUUGGUCAUAAGAACAGCCCAGAUGACUUCUGGUCAUAUGAAGAGAAUUUUAUAUUUUGGAAAAUUGAUACUGAGAACACAGAUAUUAAGGGGUCAAUUCUUGAAAUUAAGAGCUAACUAGGAUAAAGCUUGUCACUUCUGAGCAACCACAAAAAAACAGCACAAAAAUCUACUUAAGAGAGGAGAUGAAAUGGAUUACAAAACGACUACGUUAGCACAAAGAGGGCAGAAAAGGAGAAACAGAAUGAAGAAUGGACAGAACAAAUAGAAAUCAAAUACGUGGAUGUAAGAACUGGACACAAACUGAAACAAAUGAAUUGGAUACACAAGUACAUCCAGAAAAUAAGUAUUUCAAGUGACUAAAACAGUAUUUUGCCUGUAUACCAACAACAGAAUAUAAUCCAAAGACAAAUAUGGCAGCAAAGAAAUGCUUUAUUUCAUUAAUCAAUCUUAAUUUUACUAACAGUACUUUAUUAUUAAUUUGUAGGUAUGUAUCUGGUAGGUUAAAGCAAAUAAGUAAAUACUUCAGUACUGUUAAGGCCAAGAUUUUUCAUGUAAGGUAAAAGAGAUACAAGUAUAAAUUUUUAAAAAUAUUCAGUAAGAGCUCUUAAUGCUAAGUUAGAAUUGAAAAUAUACCAUAAUAAAUUCAUGAUAUUUUUCAAAACUAUUCAAUUUUCUAGCUUUAUGUUCUGAAAUGCUUAGAAGCAAGACAGCCCAAUAACAAUUAGCACCCCUAA